rnacentral:lncRNA from 1 species
CCUGACUGUUUUUCUAAAAGAAUGAUAAAUUAUCAUGUUUACUGGCACUGAUGAUUUUAGACAACCACCAAGUACUAUGGGAAAUAGUACUCUGCUUGAGAUAUAGUAGCCUGCUUCCACAUAGUCACGUGCUGAAUUUCAUAAACCUUGUGCCUAAUGCUGGGCAUCUCUGUCCAGGAUGAAAUGUAACUCCCAGACAGCACGGGGGGAUGAAAACUGAGAGCAGCGUACUGAUGUGCAGCUAGUGUGAGUGAGACUGGGUUUGAAUUCAGUGACAGAAUCCUCCUCCCAAACCUACUGCUCAAAACAUACUAAUGUGUCUUCUGGGAAUCUGAGACUACAGCUAGAGAAUUCAUACUCCACUUCCACCUCUCCCAAGCUUGCCGUUUUCUUCCAAGUUCCCAUAUAACUUACCUCUCUGCAGAUCGCACCACUCCUUGUGUUGGGAAGCACAAGCUAUGUGCAUGCACAUAUAAGGAUGUUUGUAUAGACAUGUAUGUCAGUGUGAACAAAAUGAAAGGUGGUGUCUAUUCUCUUCCUGAAUCUGUACAGAAUUGGCUCUCCCAGGUAAAAAGCUGAACUGAUCUGCACUAUAGUUGCUGGCUGACCCUGGGCCCACAGACAGCACACAUUGUGGAGCGACAGGUAAAAUAGAUUUAUAUUUCCUCCUGCCAUUUUUUUAAAAGGAUAUGCCCUCCAGAUAAAUUCAAGCACUGUCAGAACU